GAGAGGAUGUAGGGGAUGAUAUCGGGAUGGGGAUAUCGGGGUGACAACGCUCAGAUGAGGAUGGUGGGGGGGGAUAUGGGGGCGAUGAUAUGGGGGAGGGAUAUCAGGAUGGAGACACUGGGGUAAGGGAUACUCAGGUGAGGAUGUGACAAUAUUGGGGUGAGGAGACUGGGAGGGGAUAAGGGCUGAUGACAUUGGGUUGAGAAAUCGAGGUGAGGAUGUUGGGGCAAGGACAUGGGAUUGACAGACUGUGCACAUUGGGGUGGGAUUCUGGGGUGUGGAUGUUGGAGUGCAGAACUGGGGUUGAAACAGAGGAGGGAUAUUGGAUUGGGGUAAUAAUAUUGGGGUGGGAAUGUUCAGGUGGGGAUGCAGGGAUGAGAAUAUGGGGGGGAUGUCAGGAUGGGGAUAUUGAGGUGAUUUUAUCUGGAUUAUGGAUGGAGAUUUGGGGGUGGAGAUAGUAUACGUGGUGAGGACAUGAAUAUAGAAUAUAUUGUGAAUAUAUCGUGGUGAGGACAAUCAGGUAGGGAUAUCAGCAUGCGGAUUGGGGGUGGGGACAUCCAGGUUGGUCAUUGGAGUGGGAAUAUCGGGAUGAUUCCGUAAAGGUGAGACAUCAAUGCAGGUACACUGAGGUGCAGAUAUCAGAGUGGGUAAGGACACAGGGGUGGUACAUCAGGUGGGAACAACAGGGUGAGGAUAAGGGGGCGGGUCCAUCAGGGUGAGGACACAGGGUGGGUGCACCAGGUGGGUACAUCAGGUGGGUACACCAGGUGGGUACAUCAGGUGGGUACACCAGGUGGGUGCAUCGGGCGCUCACCGCUCGCAGUACUGCCCGGUGUAUCCUGGCGCGCAG